GCGCGCGGUUCAAGGAUACACCUAACUAAAAUUGGUGCAACUGUAACUCGCGACGCCACGCGAAUCCUUACGACGCCAUCACCGAGGAGACAGCUGUAGCAGCUACGCAGACGAAAUGUAAAUGAACAUUGCUUGAUUUUUUCUUCGGAACAUCGACUUCAAUCCUGUCUGCCGAUUCUGCGUCGUCUUUUUCGAGCUGGUAAUCGAGUGGAACUCGAAACACGACAUCGCCAAGUCGUCUCGACGAUCAACUUCCCUUCGUCCUUCCCCAGUCGAGAUAGAACUGCGGCACAUGAGACGUACAACUCCUUUUUUUUCAGCAGAG
rnacentral:misc_RNA from 1 species